AAAGGCGGCUGAAUGGCCGCAGGCCGAAAGGCAUGAGGAAAGUCCGGGCACCGCAGGGCAGGAUGCCUGCUAACGGCAGGUGGAGGCGACUCCAAGGCAAGUGCAACAGAGAGAUACCGCCGGGGGAAACCCCGGUAAGGGUGGAAAGGUGCGGUAAGAGCGCACCGGCGGCCUGGCGACUGUGCCGUCAUGUAAACCCCAUCCGGUGCAAGGUGUAGGGAACGCAUAGGAUUGCCCGUCCUGUUCCCGCAGUACCGCUCAAGCGCGCUGGCAACUUCGCGUUUAGAUAGAUGGCCAUUUUCAACAGAACCCGGCUUACAGGCCGCGCUUUGUCA
rnacentral:RNase_P_RNA from 1 species